UGCUUGCAAUGUCAGUUUAUUUACUUUUUUUUUUUUUUUAGUGCUGAAGAUUGAGCCCAGGGUUUGUGUGUGAGAGGAAUAUCCUCUACACGCAGCCACAUUCCCACCCUGAAGGUAGGUUGUGUCGAAAUGGAAGGCAGAGAGGCCUCUCCCAGGAGAAGUUCUUCAGCUGUGUCCACUGGCGAUGUCACAGCUUGACUCAGAAGUCGCUGGAGGAAACAUAGCCCUGUCCAACACUGAAAACCACACAGCAUCUACCUCAAAGAUGGGAGAGGCAGCAGGACCAAGACCCAGGAAGAUAUGAAGACCCCUGGCCUUGACAUCUGACAUUCAGAAACUGAGGUUGAUUGAAUGGUCAGCGUUUGGAUUUCUUUCUAUUUAUAUUGGUACAACUAGUGGAAGAUUGGAGACAAGUACCUGAGAUAUUAGUCUGAAAAACAUGGAAAAGAGAGAGCCAGAAGCCAUCUGUCUACCAAGAGAGAGGAGGAAAUCAGUACUGCCCAGGAAUCCUAUGAAAAGAACCCCUAGAAGAGAGGCUCAGAGAACAAAGUAGAUCAGCUCAUGUUUCCAGGGACUGGGGAUCUGGAGUGAUGGUGAGUGUCACCUUGAGUUGUUGAAAGAUACAGUUUGCAACUGCAAAGAGAUGUGGUCUUUCCAGAUAAGCAGGUAGAAGACGACUUGGGGGUGCAGAGAGAGGACAUUAAGGGCUAUACAAAGAGGAUGUGGUAUAAUUUGGAUCUGGAAUGUCCCACUAAACGUCUGUGUGUUAAAGGCUUGGCCUCUGUACCCUGAUGCUAUUGGGAGGUGAGUAACUUUAAGAGGUGGGGCCUAGUGGGAGGUUUUUAGGUCAGUGAUAGUUUGCCCUAGAAAAGGGCUGUGGGAUACUGGACUCUCCCUCUUUAUCUCCACCCUCCAAAGAUAUAUGCUACAUGAUCCUGACCAUGAAGAGAUGCCUUAUCAUAAACCUAAAGGCAAUAGAUCUGCCUAACCAUGAAUUGCAGCUUCCAAAACAGUAAGCCAAACCUUUUUUUCCUUAUAAGUUCAUUAUCUCAGGUGUUUUGUUAUAGUAAAGGUAAGCUAACACAGGAGAUAAGCUAACAUACUCUCUAAAAGCCACAUAUUUGGAUAUUCAACACUAUAUACAGUCAACAUUCCCUAUCUUCAGGUUCUGUACCUAUAUUCAACAAACUACAGAAGGAAAAUAAAGUUAUGUCUGCACUGAACAUAUAUAGACAUUUCUCCUAUAACUCUCCUCUAAAUAAUAC
rnacentral:lncRNA from 1 species